AUUGAACGCUGGCGGCAUGGCUAAUGCAUGCAAGUCGAACGAAAGCCCUUCGGGGCGAAAGUGGCGAAAGGGCGAGUAAUACGAUCGAACGUACCCCAAGGUGGAGGAUAGUGUCGGGAAACUGACGGUAAUACUCCAUGUGCUCUUCGGAGGAAAGCUUUGGCGCCUCGGGAGCGGCGAUCGUCCUAUCAGGUAGUUGGUGAGGUAAUGGCUCACCAAGCCGAAGACGGGUAGCGGGUGUGAGAGCAUGACCCGCCGCAUCGGGACUGAGACACUGCCCGGACUCCUACGGGAGGCUGCAGCGACGAAUCUUCCGUAAUGGGCGCAAGCCUGACGGAGCAAUGCCGCGUGUGGGACGAAGCGUCUUCGACGUGUAAACCACUGUCAGAAUCUAGGAACACUGACCAGAUUCAAAGGAAGGGCCGGCUAACCUCGUG
rnacentral:rRNA from 1 species